AUUGACUUCUUAUCACAUAGGCAUGUGGGCAGCUGGUUGUAGAAUUCUCACCAUGAUCAUGGCCAUCUCCUUUUAUUGAAAGAAGUGAGCCUUUUGUCCCUAGGGCUCCCUUCUCUCCAUUCUCUUCUCCUUAUAUAAUGAUGGUGACCUUUUGGAGCCUCUGACAGACCAAGAAGACCUCCACAGGUUAUCUCAUUUACAAGGAUACAAGGUGGGCUCCUAGCUUAGGAGUUACUGGCAACUCCUAACUGCUGGGAGACUGAAAGUCCGUCUUCGUUAAGAGUACGAUUUCUGGUGGAUCGACCACACUCCAGUGGGAGGCAACCCAUCCAGACACAUACGGGCAGCACUAGUUGAACUCAGCGAGUUAAAGAGGAGAAAAGGGGAAUAGGAGGCACCAUCUCAGGUUACCCCCGCACCUGCCACAGUAUUAAAUGGAUACUGAACCAUACAUUUUCCUUUCAUCUGUCUAUGCCCUCAGCAAGACAGACAAAGUGUGCAAUUCAGGCUCGAAGGCUCGGAGAUCAGCAGAUGUACGUGGUUGCUCAAAAUCGAUGGAUACACCGGUUGUCCAAAAUUAGUGUAAUUCAAUUACUGUAGCCAUGAUUAGCUUCCCAGAGGGACAGCAUGGGGUGAGGCCAGGGUGAAGGAAGCUCAAACUUUCUUUUUUUUUCAUCAGUAGGGGUGGGGAGGGCUUAACAUGUAAAGAGAAUACGCUUCCUGAAGUUGGUUCUGCAUCUCACCAGCUCUAAGCAGGACCAGAGCCCAGAUAACCAUACUUGGGAACUAAAUUGUGAAAGGGAGGUCCAGGAAGGCUGUGACAAACACCCAGGCUUCAAAGUGCUGUCACCAGAAGCCAGCAUCGCUGUAAGGAGCAUACAGGAUGAUUUUUUUUAAACCCCCAAUAUUUCUUCCUUUCUAUAUACUUUUCACCAACCUGUAAUGCAAGUUUAAAGGAAAAAAAAUGGAAACCUCAAUUCCCCAA
rnacentral:sRNA from 1 species